rnacentral:rRNA from 1 species
UACACACGGAUAACAUACCGAAAGGUAUGCUAAUACGGGAUAAUAUAUUUGAGAGGCAUCUCUUAAAUAUCAAAGGUGAGCCAGUACAGGAUGGACCCGCGUCUGAUUAGCUAGUUGGUAAGGUAACGGCUUACCAAGGCGACGAUCAGUAGCCGACCUGAGAGGGUGAUCGGCCACAUUGGAACUGAGACACGGUCCAAACUCCUACGGGAGGCAGCAGUGGGGAAUAUUGCGCAAUGGGCGAAAGCCUGAUGCAGCAACGCCGCGUGAGUGAUGAAGGCCUUCGGGUCGUAAAACUCUGUCCUCAAGGAAGAUAAUGACGGUACUUGAGGAGGAAGCCCCGGCUAACUACGUGCCAGCAGCCGCGGUAAUACGUAGGGGGCUAGCGUUAUCCGGAUUUACUGGGCGUAAAGGGUGCGUAGGCGGUCUUUCAAGUCAGGAGUGAAAGGCUACGGCUCAACCGUAGUAAGCUCUUGAAACUGGGAGACUUGAGUGCAGGAGAGGAGAGUGGAAUUCCUAGUGUAGCGGUGAAAUGCGUAGAUAUUAGGAGGAACACCAGUUGCGAAGGCGGCUCUCUGGACUGUAACUGACGCUGAGGCACGAAAGCGUGGGGAGCAAACAGGAUUAGAUACCCUGGUAGUCCACGCUGUAAACGAUGAAUACUAGGUGUCGGGGGUUACCCCCUUCGGUGCCGCAGC